UACGUAGGGGGCAAGCGUUGUCCGGAUUUAUUGGGCGUAAAGAGCUCGUAGGUGGUUCGGUAAGUCGGGUGUGAAACCUCCAGGCUCAACCUGGAGACGCCACCCGAUACUGCCGCGACUAGAGUCCAGUAGGGGAGCGUGGAAUUCCUGGUGUAGCGGUGAAAUGCGUAGAUAUUAGGAAGAACACCAGUGGCGAAGGCGCUCUACUGGGCCAUUACUGACGCUGAUGGACGAAAGCUAGGGGAGCGAAAGGG
rnacentral:rRNA from 1 species